CUUGUUACCAUUUCAAACCCACUGUGUGAACACCAUGGGCACUAUUCACUGAAAAAUGAUGAAAUGCUGGUUUUACUUUCCAAUUUUUAGAUCUGAAGA